CACCAGGCAUUACUUCUGUGCAGCCAAAGCAGUGCUUGCCAUGCCUCUGUGCUGGUGCUCCACUGGGGGUCUAGAUUGCAGGGGACUGGAUUUGCUGGUCCAGGUGGUCCCUUACUGAUCUACGUGUCCUUCUGCUAACAUACGCAGGCAAAGGUGCUUCAGCAGGUUUAUCAGCUUCUGUAUAACAGAUUGCUGUUACUGGUCUAGAGUUGCGCUCCCCACCCCC